GAAGUCUUACUCCCUGUUGCUUCUUCAGAGGAGCUCUGGUCUUUGCCAUCACUUUUGGCUGUUCAUCUCCAGUUUCUUCAGGCUUCCAGCACAGAUCCUUUCCAUCUCUGACACGAACUCGCACUGGACUCUGCAGUGAGCAUCAGGCCUUCGACUUUCGAUGGAUCCUCCAGCUCUUCAGCAUGAAGAUGGCCAUUUUACAGUGAACCUUAACUGAGACAGAUCCCUGGCAGUCAGCCAGUUCUGAUCCACCAAACAGAUGGCCACACAUUCUCAUAUGCUUGGGUUAUUUGAAAUCACUGUGAAUGGAAUGGACUGCUUAUGGAUGACUGGGAAAUGCAGCAAGGUGUGGGCAAGUUGUCCAUAUCGUCACACAGAGAGAAUUCACAUGAAGCAACAUAGUACAGAACUGAUCUGAACAAGAUGACGAAGAUGUUCUAGGUCCUCAAGAUCAGACAAUAGGGAAGUCAACAAUGGCUGUCAUAGUGUCUCUUCUCUUCAAAAUAGCUGUCCAUAACUUCAUGUAUGUUGAAAUUAAACAAAACAAA